GCUGGCGGCGUGCCUCAGACAUGCAAGUCGAACGCGAAAGUCCCUUUCGGGGGACAAGUAGAGUGGCGUCCGGGUGAGUAACACGUAGGUAAUCUACCUUCGGGUGGGGAAUAACGCAGGGAAACUUGCGCUAAUACCGCAUAAUGCAGCGGCACCACAUGGUGACAGUUGUUAAAGCGGGGGAUUUUCGAACCUCGCGCCUGAAGAGGAGCCUGCGGCAGAUUAGCUAGUUGGUAAGGUAACGGCUUACCAAGGCGACGAUCUGUAGCCGGCCUGAGAGGGCGGUCGGCCACACUGACACUGACAUACGGGUCAGACUCCUACGGGAGGCAGCAGUCGGGAAUUUUGGGCAAUGGGCGAAAGCCUGACCCAGCAACGCCGCGUGAAGGAUGAAAUCCCUCGGGAUGUAAACUUCGCAAGAAUAGGAAGAAUUAGCGAGUACUAAUAUUGCUCGUGAUGACGGUACUAUUUGUAAGCUCCGGCUAACUCCGUGCCAGCAGCCGCGGUAAUACGGGGGGAGCAAGCGUUGUUCGGAUUUACUGGGCGUAAAGGGCGCGUAGGCGGCCAUCACAAGUCAGUUGUGAAAUCUCCGGGCUUAA
rnacentral:rRNA from 1 species